UACGUAGGGGGCAAGCGUUGUCCGGAUUUAUUGGGCGUAAAGAGCGUGUAGGCGGCUUGGAAGGUCAGCUGUGAAAACUCGAGGCUCAACCUCGAGACGUCGGUUGAAACCACCUGGCUAGAGUCCGGAAGAGGAGUGUGGAAUUCCCGGUGUGAGCGGUGAAAUGCGCAGAUAUCGGGAAGAACACCCGUGGCGAAGGCGGCACUCUGGGACGGUACUGACGCUGAGACGCGAAAGCGUGGGGAGCGAACAGG
rnacentral:rRNA from 1 species